rnacentral:rRNA from 1 species
UACGUAGGGGGCAAGCGUUGUCCGGAUUUAUUGGGCGUAAAGAGCGUGGAGGCGGCCUUACAGGUCAGCUGUGAAAACUCGAGGCUCAACCUCGAGACGUCGGUUGAAACCGUAAGGCUAGAGUCCGGAAGAGGAGAGUGGAAUUCCCGGUGUAGCGGUGAAAUGCGCAGAUAUCGGGAAGAACACCCGUGGCGAAGGCGGCUCUCUGGGACGGUACUGACGCUGAGACGCGAAAGCGUGGGGAGCGAACAGG